AACUUUUGGCAAUGGAUCACUUGGCUCUCGCAUCGAUGAAGAACGCAGCGAAAUGCGAUAAGUAAUGUGAAUUGCAGAUACCGUGAAUCAUCAAAUCUUUGAACGCACAUUGCACUGUCUAGAACUCCGGGCAGUAUACCUGUUUGAGUAUCAGCUACUCCUCUCACUAUCAGUUACCUUGGUAGCCUAGUGAGGACUUGAGUCAUCAUGGACUAUCCUCGGAUAGCCUGUGCGACUUUAAAUAGCAGUACCAGCGUCCCUAGGAUCGCUGUUAUCUUGCAGAGUUGAUGGCCUUGUGCCUAAUCCUGUUAGGGUAACAGAUCGUAUACCUAGUGGUUAAUCGUAGCUGGCUUACUAAACCAUACAGUGAUCAGUAGUUACUGAUUGACUGUGACUUUGAUCUCAAAUCAGGUAAGAUUACCCGCUGAACUUAAGCAUAUCAAUAAGCGGAGGCU
rnacentral:misc_RNA from 1 species